CAAUAGCGUAUAUUAAAGUUGUUGCAGUUAAAAAGCUCGUAGUUGGAUUUCUGGUGAGAUGGAUUAUGCCUAGGUCGAAAGAUCUUGUUCAUGGUUCGUUUUGCCCUUCUUGUCAGGAACCCGCUGAGAUUCGCGUCUUGUCGGUGGAAUGGCAUCGUUUACUGUGAAAAAAUUAGAGUGUUCAAAGCAGGCAUCGCCGUUGAAUACAUUAGCAUGGAAUAAUAAGAUAAGACUUUGGUGGUCUAUUUUGUUGGUUUGCACGCCAAGGUAAUGAUUAAUAGGGAUAGUUGGGGGUAUUCGUAUUCUAUUGCUAGAGGUGAAAUUCUUAAAUUUAUGGAAGACGAACUACUGCGAAAGCAUUUACCAAGGAUGUUUUCAUUAA
rnacentral:rRNA from 1 species